rnacentral:rRNA from 1 species
AUUGAACGCUGGCGGCAUGCCUUACACAUGCAAGUCGAACGGCAGCGGGGGAGAAGCUUGCUUUUCCUGCCGGCGAGUGGCGAACGGGUGAGUAAUACAUCGGAACGUGCCCUGUAGUGGGGGAUAACUAGUCGAAAGAUUAGCUAAUACCGCAUACGACCUGAGGGUGAAAGUGGGGGACCGCAAGGCCUCAUGCUAUAGGAGCGGCCGAUGUCUGAUUAGCUAGUUGGUGGGGUAAAGGCCUACCAAGGCGACGAUCAGUAGCUGGUCUGAGAAGACGAUCAACCACACUGGGACUGAGACACGGCCCAGACUCCUACGGGAGGCAGCAGUGGGGAAUUUUGGACAAUGGGCGAAAGCCUGAUCCAGCAAUGCCGCGUGUGUGAAGAAGGCCUUCGGGUUGUAAAGCACUUUUGUCCGGAAAGAAAUGGCUCUGGUUAAUACCUGGGGUCGAUGACGGUACCGGAAGAAUAAGGACCGGCUAACUACGUGCCAGCCGCCGCGGUAA